UACGUAGGGUGCGAGCGUUGUCCGGAUUUAUUGGGCGUAAAGAGCUCGUAGGCGGUUUGUCGCGUCGGCCGUGAAAUCUCCACGCUUAACGUGGAGCGUGCGGUCGAUAUGGGCAGACUUGAGUUCGGUAGGGGAGACUGGAAUUCCUGGUGUAGCGGUGAAAUGCGCAGAUAUCAGGAGGAACACCGGUGGCGAAGGCGGGUCUCUGGGCCGAUACUGACGCUGAGGAGCGAAAGCGUGGGGAGCGAACAGG
rnacentral:rRNA from 1 species